GUAUCAUGGCUCAGGAUGAACGCUAGCUACAGGCUUAACACAUGCAAGUCGAGGGGCAGCAUGGUCUUAGCUUGCUAAGGCCGAUGGCGACCGGCGCACGGGUGAGUAACACGUAUCCAGCCUGGCCGUCUACUCUUGGACAGCCUUCUGAAAGGAAGAUUAAUACAAGAUGGCAUCAUGAGUCCGACAUGUUCACAUGAUUAAAGGUAUUCCGGUAGACGAUGGGG
rnacentral:rRNA from 1 species